UACGUAGGGUGCAAGCGUUAAUCGGAAUUAUUGGGCGUAAAGAGCUCGUAGGCGGUUUGUCGCGUCUGCUGUGAAAACUCGGGGCUUAACCCCGGGCCUGCAGUGGGUACGGGCAGACUAGAGUGCGGUAGGGGAGACUGGAAUUCCUGGUGUAGCGGUGAAAUGCGCAGAUAUCAGGAGGAACACCGGUGGCGAAGGCGGGUCUCUGGGCCGUAACUGACGCUGAGGAGCGAAAGCAUGGGGAGCGAACAGG
rnacentral:rRNA from 1 species